rnacentral:rRNA from 1 species
UACGUAGGGUGCGAGCGUUAAUCGGAAUUACUGGGCGUAAAGCGUGCGCAGGCGGUUUUGUAAGCCAGAUGUGAAAUCCCCGGGCUUAACCUGGGAAUGGCAUUUGGGACUGCCAGGCUCGAGUGCGGCAGAGGAGACUGGAAUUCCCGGUGUAGCAGUGAAAUGCGUAGAUAUCGGGAGGAAUACCGAUGGCGAAGGCAGGUCUCUGGGCUGACACUGACGCUCAUGCACGAAAGCGUGGGGAGCAAACAGG